rnacentral:rRNA from 1 species
GACGAACGCUGGCGGCGUGCUUAACACAUGCAAGUCGAACGGAAAGGCCCUGCUUUUGUGGGGUGCCCGAGUGGCGAACGGGUGAGUAACACGUGAGUAACCUGCCCUUGACUUUGGGAUAACUUCAGGAAACUGGGGCUAAUACCGGAUAGGAGCUCCUGCUGCAUGGUGGGGGUUGGAAAGUUUCGGCGGUUGGGGAUGGACUCGCGGCUUAUCAGCUUGUUGGUGGGGUAGUGGCUUACCAAGGCUUUGACGGGUAGCCGGCCUGAGAGGGUGACCGGCCACAUUGGGACUGAGAUAUGGCCCAGACUCCUACGGGAGGCAGCAGUGGGGAAUAUUGCACAAUGGGCGGAAGCCUGAUGCAGCAACGCCGCGUGCGGGAUGACGGCCUUCGGGUUGUAAACCGCUUUCGCCUGUGACGAAGCGUGAGUGACGGUAAUGGGUAAAGAAGCACCGGCUAACUACGUG